CGAUAACUCAUAUAUCACAAGCGCAGAGAAAGGGGAGGUAAGGUUACCGGGGAUCGCUAGGGCUAAUUCUUUUAGCUGUUUAAGUGUGAAGCUAGCCCUAGGAGAAGGGAGAGGGCAAGGCUGGUCCAGCCGCCGCGGAUAACCAGUUCUUCAAGUGUCGGGAUUCUUUAUUGGGUUUAAAUUGUCCUUACCCGGUUGGGUAAUUCCCUGGUAAUUUUGCCAGCUUAACUGAAAGAAGAAUAAGAAUAUUUUCUUACUAGAGGACGGGAAAGGUCGGAGGUAUUCCAGGGGUAGCGGUGAAAUGGGAAAAUCCUUGGGGGACCACAGGGGGCGAGGGGGGCAGAUUGAACCGUGGCUGAGGGUGAUGGACGACAGCAGGGGAGCAAAAGGAAUUAGAACCCGGGUAGUCCGGGGGGGAAACAAUCCGUGUUAGGUGUUGGAAAGGUUGUAAGCCCUUUCAGUGCCGUGGAAAACUGUUAAGCGCCCAGACGGGAAGGGAGGCUGGGAAGGGGGAAAUUUAUAGGAAUUGGCGGCCAAAGGCCAAAUUCUUUUAAAUUUGCAGAAUUAGUCCCUUUAGGGAGGUUUUUUUCUGAGCUUGGAAAAUCUGGGCCAUACUUUUUUCCUGAAAUU
rnacentral:rRNA from 1 species